rnacentral:ribozyme from 16 species
UGGUUCUUGUUGUUGUUCGCUUUGUUGUUCUUGUUUUCUUUCUCAUCUUUCUCAUGGAAAGAUUUUGAAAUACAAGCAAGAAGAGGAUAUCAGAAAAGCUCACAAGCAGAGAACAGCAGAAAUCAGGGA